ACGCGAGGAACCUUACCAGGUCUUGACAUCCUCUGACACUCCUAGAGAUAGGACGUUCCCCUUCGGGGGACAGAGUGACAGGUGGUGCAUGGUUGUCGUCAGCUCGUGUCGUGAGAUGUUGGGUUAAGUCCCGCAACGAGCGCAACCCUUGAUCUUAGUUGCCAGCAUUUAGUUGGGCACUCUAAGGUGACUGCCGGUGACAAACCGGAGGAAGGUGGGGAUGACGUCAAAUCAUCAUGCCCCUUAUGACCUGGGCUACACACGUGCUACAAUGGAUGGUACAAAGGGCAGCAAAGCGGUGACGCCUAGCAAAUCCCAUAAAACCAUUCUCAGUUCGGAUUGUAGGCUGCAACUCGCCUACAUGAAGCUGGAAUCGCUAGUAAUCGCGGAUCAGCAUGCCGCGGUGAAUACGUUCCCGGGCCUUGCACACACCGCCCGU
rnacentral:rRNA from 1 species